AUAGAGUUUGAUCCUGGCUCAGGACGAACGCUGGCGGCGUGCUUAACACAUGCAAGUUGAACGGAGGCAUAUCAUCACGACUUUUCGGAGGAGAGAUGAUGUGUUCUUAGUAGCGGACGGGUGAGUAAUGCAUGAGAACCUGUCCUUCAGAGGGGGACAACAGUUGGAAACGGCUGCUAAUACCCCAUAUGCCGAGAGGUGAAAGGAGUAAUCCGCUGAAGGAGGGGCUCAUGUCCUAUCAGUUAGUUGGUGAGGUAAAGGCUUACCAAGGCGAUGACGGGUAGCCGGCCUGAGAGGGUGACCGGCCACAUUGGAACUGAGAUACGGUCCAGACUCCUACGGGAGGCAGCAGUGGGGAAUAUUGGGCAAUGGGCGCAAGCCUGACCCAGCGACGCCGCGUGAGGGAAGAAGGCCUUUGGGUCGUAAACCUCUGUUGUAUGGGAAGAAGGAAGUGACGGUACCAUACGAGGAAGUCCCGGCUAACUACGUGCCAGCAGCCGCGGUAAUAAU
rnacentral:rRNA from 1 species